rnacentral:rRNA from 1 species
AAGCGGAGGAAAAGAAACCAACAGGGAUUGCCCUAGUAACGGCGAGUGAAGCGGCAACAGCUCAAAUUUGAAAUCUGGCGCAAGCCCGAGUUGUAAUUUGUAGAGGAUGCUUCUGGGUAGCGGCCGGUCUAAGUUCCUUGGAACAGGACGUCACAGAGGGUGAGAAUCCCGUAUGUGAUCGGCCCGCGCCCUCUACGUAGCUCCUUCGACGAGUCGAGUUGUUUGGGAAUGCAGCUCUAAAUGGGAGGUAAAUUUCUUCUAAAGCUAAAUACCGGCCAGAGACCGAUAGCGCACAAGUAGAGUGAUCGAAAGAUGAAAAGCACUUUGGAAAGAGAGUUAAACAGCACGUGAAAUUGUUGAAAGGGAAGCGCUUGCAACCAGACUUGACGGCGGUGUUCCCCCGGGCUUCUGCCCGGGUUAUUCACCGUCUUCAGGCCAUCAUCGUCUGGGGCCGCCGGAGAAACCGUCAGGAAUGUGGCUCCCUCGGGAGUGUUAUAGCCUGUCGACAUGCGGCGUGCCCCGGGCGAGGUCCGCGCUUAGGCAAGGAUGAUGGCGUAAUGGUUGUCAGCGGCCCGUCUUGAAACACGGACCAAGGAGUCUAACAUCUAUGCGAGUGUUCGGGUGUCAAACCCCUACGCGUAAUGAAAGUGAACGGAGGUGGGAGCUUCGGCGCACCAUCGACCGAUCCUGAUGUCCUCGGAUGGAUUUGAGUAAGAGCAUAGCUGUUGGGACCCGAAAGAUGGUGAACUAUGCCUGAAUAGGGUGAAGCCAGAGGAAACUCUGGUGGAGGCUCGCAGCGGUUCUGACGUGCAAAUCGAUCGUCAAAUUUGGGUAUAGGGGCGAAAGACUAAUCGAACCAUCUAGUAGCUGGUUCCUGCCGAAG